GAUGAACGCUGGCGGCGUGCCUAACACAUGCAAGUCGAACGGGGGCAGAUUGAAACCUAGUGAUAUCUGCCCGAGUGGCGGACGGGUGAGUAACGCGUGGACAACCUGCCGCAUGCAGGGGGAUACCAGCUGGAAACAGCUGCUAAUACCGCAUAUGCGCACGGCGCCGCAUGGCGCUGCGCGGAAAGGAUUUUUCCGGCAUGCGAUGGGUCCGCGUCCGAUUAGCUUGUUGGCGGGGCAGCGGCCCACCAAGGCGACGAUCGGUAGCCGGCCUGAGAGGGCGGACGGCCACAUUGGGACUGAGACACGGCCCAG
rnacentral:rRNA from 1 species